AUUGACCGCUGGCGGCAGGCCUAACACAUGCAAGUCGAGCGAGCGGCGGACGGGUGAGUAGUGUCUGGGAAACUGUCUGAUGGAGGGGGAUAAGUACUGGAAACGGUAGCUAAUACCGUAUACCAUCAGAUGUGCCCAGAUGGAAAUAGCUAGUAGGUGGGGGAACGGCUCACCUAGGCGACGAUCCCUAGCUGGUCUGAGAGGAUGACCAGCCGCACUGGAACUGGGACACGGCCCAGACGCCUACGGGAGGCAGCAGUGGGGAAUAUUGCACUAUGGGCGCAGUCCUGAUGCAGCCAUGCCGCGUGUGUGAAGAAGGCCUUCGGUUUGUAAAGCACUUUCAGCGGGGAGGCGUUACCCGCAGAAGAAGCACCGGCUAACUCCGUGCCAGCAGCCGCGGUAAUUC
rnacentral:rRNA from 1 species